GCCAGCAGCCAUAUCACCCUGAAACCCACUGUAAGUGUAAGUGUAAGCCACUGAAGCUCAGCAGGUGUGAUCCUGGUCAGUACCUGGAUGGGAGACCUCAUGGGAAAAACUAAGGUUGCUGCUGGAA
rnacentral:rRNA from 1 species